GAUGAACGCUGGCGGCGUGCCUAAUACAUGCAAGUCGAACGAAGCUGUUUUAACUGGUGCUUGCACCGACUUAAACAACUGAGUGGCGAACGGGUGAGUAACACGUGGGUAACUUGCCCCAAAGCGGGGGAUAACAUUUGGAAACAGAUGCUAAUACCGCAUAACCACAGAAACCACAUGGUUUCUGUGUCAAAGAUGGUUUCGGCUAUCACUUUGGGAUGGACCCGCGGCGUAUUAGCUAGUUGGUAAGGUAGUGGCUUACCAAGGCAAUGAUACGUAGCCGAACUGAGAGGUUGAUCGGCCACAUUGGGACUGAGACACGGCCCAAACUCCUACGGGAGGCAGCAGUAGGGAAUCUUCCACAAUGGACGAAAGUCUGAUGGAGCAACGCCGCGUGAGUGAAGAAGGUUUUCGGAUCGUAAAACUCUGUUGUCAGAGAAGAACGUGUGCGAGAGUAACUGUUCGUGCAGUGACGGUAUCUGGCCAGAAAGCCACGGCUAACUACGUGCCAGCAGCCGCGGUAA
rnacentral:rRNA from 1 species